rfam:Gongylonema pulchrum genome assembly, scaffold: GPTH_contig0002386
GGACCGGUGGUGUAGUGGUAACGCAUUGCGCCCGAACGUGAAGGGGAAUGGUUCGAUUCCGUCCUGGUCCA